rnacentral:lncRNA from 1 species
GUCCCUCUGGAUCGCUUCCUGUCCCUCCAGCAUGUCACUCACACCACACAGCUCAGAGGUGUUUCAUUCACUGUUUUUAACUUACAUGUGACAGGGUGCAUGAAAGCAGAGGUAAAAAUAAUUGAUGCUCCUUCUCAAGUCAAUGCAAUGGAUAUGUUUAUACUGAUUUUUUUAAUUCCUCGAGAGGUCUGGAACAGGCCAAUAAUUUCAUUUCCACUGAAAUGUUUUUAACAUCUUCAGAAAAGUGGCUGCCUUCAGAGUCUGACUGGGUUUCAAAUGGUGCUCAUUUUAAUAAUGAAGAAGAUCUAGAACCUGUGCCAAUUUCUAUGGACUGAA